rnacentral:rRNA from 1 species
GAUGAACGCUGGCGGCGUGCCUAAUACAUGCAAGUCGAGCGAACAGACGAGGAGCUUGCUCCUCUGACGUUAGCGGCGGACGGGUGAGUAACACGUGGAUAACCUACCUAUAAGACUGGGAUAACUUCGGGAAACCGGAGCUAAUACCGGAUAAUAUAUUGAACCGCAUGGUUCAAUAGUGAAAGACGGUUUUGCUGUCACUUAUAGAUGGAUCCGCGCCGCAUUAGCUAGUUGGUAAGGUAACGGCUUACCAAGGCAACGAUGCGUAGCCGACCUGAGAGGGUGAUCGGCCACACUGGAACUGAGACACGGUCCAGACUCCUACGGGAGGCAGCAGUAGGGAAUCUUCCGCAAUGGGCGAAAGCCUGACGGAGCAACGCCGCGCGAGUGAUGAAGGUCUUCGGAUCGUAAAACUCUGUUAUUAGGGAAGAACAAAUGUGUAAGUAACUAUGCACGUCUUGACGGUAACUAAUCAGAAAGCCACGGCUAACUACGUG